AAUCACAUACAUGGGGGGCCUGACGGACAAAAAUAAAAUAAACGUGUUUGAAUUCUUCAACCACUCAUGACCAUCCUUACGAGUUCUUCAUAAUUGAUACA